GGACGGUACUGUAGCAGUUUUGAGUCAACGCCGAUAUUUUCCGAUUCCGGCCGUCUCCGGCCACCAAACCGGCGUCGAAGGUUCGGUUUUGGCCAAGGAUCAUUUUGCCCCUAGCCUUGAGCCACGAUUUGCAGCGUGGAGGAAGAAUCGAAGAGAUGAAUUUCUGGGUUACUAUUCACCGAUCGGGUUCAACCUUCUCCUUAAUUGUUGAGGGCGAUGUACCGAGCUAUUGCUCGACGAAGGAACUCGGAUGCGUGAUCGCCUAAAUAGUACAUUUGCAGGCGAAAUUAGUUGAGGUCGGGCGUACAUGGAGUCGAGGCAUAGCCAACAGCAUUGCUUCCGCGUACUCAUUCUAUUUCUAUUUUCUUUGUUACCUAGUGGAUUAGUAGUGCUCUGAUAACCUGUGAGAUUAAUAUUGUUUUUAGGUUGAGACUGAUAUUUGUGAAAUUGGAGUUGUGA